AUUGAACGCUGGCGGCAUGCUUUACACAUGCAAGUCGAACGGUAACAGCACUUCGGUGGCUGACGAGUGGCGAACGGGUGAGUAAUACAUCGGAACGUGCCUAGUAGUGGGGGAUAACUACUCGAAAGAGUAGCUAAUACCGCAUGAGAUCUAAGGAUGAAAGCAGGGGACCUUCGGGCCUUGCGCUACUAGAGCGGCUGAUGGCAGAUUAGGUAGUUGGUGGGAUAAAAGCUUACCAAGCCGACGAUCUGUAGCUGGUCUGAGAGGACGACCAGCCACACUGGGACUGAGACACGGCCCAGACUCCUACGGGAGGCAGCAGUGGGGAAUUUUGGACAAUGGGCGCAAGCCUGAUCCAGCAAUGCCGCGUGCAGGAUGAAGGCCUUCGGGUUGUAAGCUGCUUUUGUACGGAACGAAAAGCCCUCUUCUAAUACAGGAGGGUCAUGACGGUACCGUAAGAAUAAGCACCGGCUAACUACGUG
rnacentral:rRNA from 1 species